UGUCCCUGGGCAGGCAGUGCCUCUAAUACUAGAAAUGCUAGAGGUGAUGUUAUUGGUAAACAGGCAGGGUCUGUGUUUGGUAGAUCACACGUCUGCACUC